CGUCUCACAGCUACUUCGUUCUCGCAGCGCCUCCUCCCCCCGACGUCUCCUCUUCUUUCUGGCGACCUCGACCACCGCCGCCGCCGACCACGACCUCGAGCAGUGGAUCUUACUCCUCCGUCCUCGACCUCGAGCGGCGACGGUGAUUACAUGUGGAGUUCGGGAAGAGCAGCUGCAGCAUCAUCAGUACAUGCCUGCUCAUGUACUUGGAGCCUUGGAGGAGCAGAACGAAAAUAUUUCCAAUGUCACGUUGGACAUCUUGACAGCAGGCACUGAUUUAUCCGAGGCAGCAAGUCCACCAAGAAGGACGAAGACGGCAGCAUCAGCGACGACGAUGCGUACACUCUUUUUUAUUUGUUAAGAUGAGCUAGAUUCCACCCAGUUUUGCUCACAUGAUUGACUCAUUUUUAUUUGUUGGAUCAUGAUGCACUAAAAGAUGUUCAAAAUUGAUGGCAUGAACACUCUUCUAUAUUUAAAUAGUUGAAAUGAGGGAUUUUCUACUAUAGAGAAUCCUGACAGCACAGUCAUUAAGGAUAAUAAAACAUGUUAUUUAGCAAUAAUACAUAGGCUUGCAUAGUAAUUAACUGGUCAUUUGAUUUGUUGAUUACAUCCACUUUAUACAAUUCAUUCUGCAGAGGGAAAGCAGUACAAUAAAGUCUUUUUUAGUACAGCAAAGCAACUCCUUAGUUCUUAUCAUGUCUACUCACUUGUGGAAAUAUUUUCUUAUGUCAUUGCAUUUUAAUCAUUACAUAACAUUAUUACGCCCUACGAUCCAAAAUACCUUUCAUGGUUUUAGUUCCUCCUUUGUUAUUUGCUCAUCUUAUUGUGGUGUUAAUUGAGUGUACCAUAUAAACUUUACAGGUUACUGUAAUCUUGUGAAGCAAAGGUAACUGCUUCUGUUGAGUUGUUACAGAAUGUCCUAUGGAGGAAAUCAGCAACAAAGCAUACACUAUGUCGUAAUUCAAAUUUGCUUGCAAGAUUUCCUAGGAAACCCGAUCCCUGUAAUUCCAGUGGGAUAGAUGAUUAAUUGAACACAUAUAACUUAUAAUGUGUGAUUUUAAAAUAAUUGAAGGAGGUUUGGUGAAAUUUUAAAAAUUGUUGUGACUUAUCAACUCUUGUGAAAAAUAAGAACUACUCAUGCAUUAUUUUCUAAAACAAUAUCCUGUCAUGAUUUAGACAAUCUCAUCUACCGCAUUAUUCCUUGGUUGCAGGUCAGUAAGGUCGUCUUACUUUGAUCCCUGGGUUAAUGAUGUUACUUUCCUAGAAGGUAGAUGGAGUUAUGACAUUAGGCGGUUGACUAGAUGGUCACCAAUUGUUGAUUUGUGUGCCAGGGACCACGCCCGCAUCUCUGCUCCAGUCAAUCACAUUGUGCUAUGAUGCGCACAUCCUCAAGUCUGGGAAGCGACCCUGCUCACUCUUAAAUAAUGGCAAUUAGUGUCCAGAGCCCUUCGCUGUCAACAAACUGGAUGUAGACACUCAGGUGGAAGCAUCCGCUCAGCCCCAAAUUGAUAUUCUCUUUAAUGAUUCUCGACGUGAUACCGAUGAUGUGAUUGUUGACACUGAUGAAGACUCAAUGUUAUCUUCAAAAGU